GCAAGUCGAACGGCAGCUGGGGGCUUCGGCCUGCCGGCGAGUGGCGAACGGGUGAGUAAUGCAUCGGAACGUGCCCAUGUCGUGGGGGAUAACUGCUAANAAGGUACNCUAAUACCGCAUACGUCCUGAGGGAGAAAGCGGGGGAUCUUCGGACCACUCGCGAUUGGGGCGGCCGAUGUCUUAUUAGCUAUNANGUGAGGUAAAGGCUCACCAAGGCGACCAUCCACANUGGGACUGAGAGGAUGAUCCGCCUCCCUGGGACUGAGACACGGGCCAAACUCCUACAGGGGGCGCCAGCGUGGAAUUUUGGACACUGGGGGCAAACCUGAGCCUUCCGUGUGGCGUGAGUGUUCAACGGCUUCGAGUUGUAAAGCUCUUUCAGCCGAGAAGAAAUCUAGGUCUCUAACAUAAG
rnacentral:rRNA from 1 species